rnacentral:rRNA from 1 species
UACGGGGGGAGCAAGCGUUGUUCGGAUUUACUGGGCGUAAAGGGCGCGUAGGCGGCCAGCGCAAGUCAGUUGUGAAAUCUCCGGGCUUAACUCGGAAAGGUCAACUGAUACUGCGCGGCUAGAGUGCAGAAGGGGCAACUGGAAUUCUCGGUGUAGCGGUGAAAUGCGUAGAUAUCGAGAGGAACACCUGCGACGAAGGCGGGUUGCUGGGCUGACACUGACGCUGAUGCGCGAAAGCCAGGGGAGCGAACGGG